rnacentral:RNase_P_RNA from 1 species
CUUGCAGGCCACCUUAUCGCUGCUGCGUUUUUGCGCAGGAGAGGAAAGUCCGGACACCAUAGUGCAACAUAGCGGGUAACGCCCGUCCGCCGAAAGGUGAGGACCAGUGCAACAGAAAGCAAGUACAGUUAGGCUGUAGUGAAAUCCGGUAAACUCUAUGUGGUGCAACGUCAUGUAUACCAGUGUUCUGGCAACAGAAAAGGGCGGCACGUCCAAGCUGGAGGGUAGGCGGUUAGAGCACAAAGGUAACUUUGUGCCUAGAUAAAUGAUAAGGCCCCAUUUUUGGGUACAGAAUCCGGCUUAUGGCCUGCUUUUAUA